CUCUGGGCACAAUGAGAAUAUAUCUGCUGAACAAAACUCCACAUUGGGGACAGGAAGGGCAUCCGGCCAUUAAAACACUCUGCUAUCUCCACUCAGUUGCCCAGACUCCAUCCCGCAAGGGAUUGUGGGAUCGUUAAAAGAAGAUAUGGGCUU